rnacentral:rRNA from 2 species
UGCAAGUCGAACGCGUUGGCCCAAUUGAUUGAUGGUGCUUGCACCUGAUUGAUUUUGGUCGCCAACGAGUGGCGGACGGGUGAGUAACACGUAGGUAACCUGCCCAGAAGCGGGGGACAACAUUUGGAAACAGAUGCUAAUACCGCAUAACAACGUUGUUCGCAUGAACAACGCUUAAAAGAUGGCUUCUCGCUAUCACUUCUGGAUGGACCUGCGGUGCAUUAGCUUGUUGGUGGGGUAAUGGCCUACCAAGGCGAUGAUGCAUAGCCGAGUUGAGAGACUGAUCGGCCACAAUGGGACUGAGACACGGCCCAUACUCCUACGGGAGGCAGCAGUAGGGAAUCUUCCACAAUGGACA